GGCACCGUCACCCUGCUGAAAUCACAUCCCAACCUACACACCAAAGCUCAAUCAACCUGGACGAAAUCGCAGUUCAUUAGAAAAAGCGCUUUGACGAGUAGAGGGUGAAGAUUUGAAGAAGAAGGGGAGAAGAAGUCGAGGACUUGGAGCUAAAGAGUAAGAGUCGCAAUCCUUUACCUGAGGUACUGCACCAGAUGCUCCUGAUGAGCCACCAGUAGAAGGGCUUCGCAUUGGCACCAUUGCAGCUACUGACCUAAUGGAAGGUGCUGAAUCAUUUUGUGGAUCAUCGAUGUGCCUUUGAAAAUAUGCCACAAGCCGGUCAAUAUCCUCAAACAUCUUUUUGCGGAACCUGAAUCCUUUGGGGUAAAGACCAAUGUACUCAUGGUGUGGAUUUGUACUUCUUAUGUAAGUCAAUACAAAUGUGCCAGGAUGUUCAUGACAGAUGCCAAAACUAUAAACUAUGCGCAUUGGAUUCUCUUC